AGUCUAUUGCCCGACGGGAAGUUAAGCUCCUCCGGAGACUGGGGAUACACAACAGCUGCCCCUCACACACAGUCCUGGCAAACGGUGAAUGAAAAGACUCACCAAAAACUGUCCAGUAAACAGGCCAGGCAGCAACCGAUUCAGCAUGAAGGGAUCCAGUCAGGGGAGGAGAGGGAAGUAAAGAUGGUUGAGCAGGUGACAGAAGAGGUUAAAGACGAUGAACGUCCUCUGAUCUCCGUUCUCCAUCCUGUCCUCUCGGUCAACGGCGCACUACCUUUGGAUGAGUGGUGCGUGUAUCCCAGUGCCCCUCUUACACUCAGCGAGGGCUCCAUGCGCUCAGACAGUGUGGAGGACUGUCUGGAGCCAGCCAAGAACACAGACCUCCUGACGGGUGACCUAAGGUUGUCAGAAGUAAGACAGGAGCAGAUCGGUUCCAUUGUGCUGAAUCUCAAAGUAUCCCAGGUACUGCUGCAGCAGGGCGACGCCAGCCUAGAUGUUGUGGAGAGCUGCCUCCGGACCAGGGGAGGGAACGACGAGGUGGACUGUAGAGAAGCUUCCCCCACAAACCCAUCCAAGUAUAGGAGUGCUGUCGGCCCGCCUUCACCUCGCUACCGUCGGCCACCUCGUCCUCUAGCCAAGACACUGGAAAGACAAGGACAUUAUGGAGAGCGACCGCAGAGUCAGGAGCGAGAGAGAGAAGAGCUGACCUUUGGGAUGGCUCCUUCUCCCUUUUUGAACAAUGAUUGUCAGGAAUAUAGAAAGAAAUCUUAUGAGCAGACUAAUCGAAGUAGCUUGAUUAACAAGGGAUCACUUGAUAUUCAUCCAAGACCAAAGCAUGAGGAAGUUGGAGGCAUAAAUUCCAGGGCUUGGUCCCACCUUCAGGAUCUCCCUGGAACACGGAAAAUAAAUGAGCUCAUAGAGAGGUCAUGCGCCUCACCAGACUUUCUGGAAGGGAUCCAGUCGUCUCUACAGCAGAUGGGCGUCCAGGCCCAAGCCACAAAGACCGGUAAUACCAUAAACCUGAUGCAUAUUUACUGCUUCAGUUUUUUGGUUGUUUUGUGGUUCCACAGAGCCUGUUCUCUGGUCUCUAUAGGAGAGUUGCAUAAUGGACCUUUAAAAAAAAUGAAUGCCCCAAUGCCAUUUCAUUAG
rnacentral:lncRNA from 1 species